GAUUAACGCUGGCGGCGUGCAUAACACAUGCAAGUCGAACGAGGUGGAGGACGGGUGAGUAACGCGGGAGUAACCUGCCUUAGAGAAGGGGAAAGCGUUUGGAAACGCCGAAUAAUACCCUAUACUCUAAGAUGGACUUGCGUCUGAUUAGUUAGUUGGUGGGGUAACGGCCCACCGAGACAGCGAUCAGUAGCUGGCUUGAGAGAGUGUACGGCCACAUUGGGGCUGAGACACGGCCCAGACUCUACGGGAGGCAGCAGUGGGGAAUUUUGCACAAUGGGGGAAACCCUGAUGCCGCGACGCCGCGUGAUUUAGAAGGCCUGCGGGUUGUAAAAAUCUUUUCUAUGGGAAGCAGUACCAUAGGAAUAAGGACCGGCUAAUUACGUGCCAGCAGCCGCGGUAAUUC
rnacentral:rRNA from 1 species